GAUGAACGCUGGCGGCGUGCCUAAUACAUGCAAGUCGAGCGAACGGACGAGAAGCUUGCUUUUCUGAUGUUAGCGGCGGACGGGUGAGUAACACGUGGAUAACCUACCUAUAAGACUGGGAUAACUUCGGGAAACCGGAGCUAAUACCGGAUAAUAUUUUGAACCGCAUGGUUCAAAAGUGAAAGACGGUCUUGCUGUCACUUAUAGAUGGAUCCGCGCUGCAUUAGCUAGUUGGUAAGGUAACGGCUUACCAAGGCAACGAUGCAUAGCCGACCUGAGAGGGUGAUCGGCCACACUGGAACUGAGACACGGUCCGGACUCCUACGGGAGGCAGCAGUAGGGAAUCUUCCGCAAUGGGCGAAAGCCUGACGGAGCAACGCCGCGUGAGUGAUGAAGGUCUUCGGAUCGUAAAACUCUGUUAUUAGGGAAGAACAUAUGUGUAAGUAACUGUGCACAUCUUGACGGUACCUAAUCAGAAAGCCACGGCUAACUACGUG
rnacentral:rRNA from 1 species